GAUGAACGCCGGCGGCGUGCCUAAUACAUGCAAGUCGAGCGAACAGACGAGGAGCUUGCUCCUCUAACGUUAGCGGCGGACGGGUGAGUAACACGUGGAUAACCUACCUAUAAGACUGGGAUAACUUCGGGAAACCGGAGCUAAUACCGGAUAAUAUAUUGAACCGCAUGGUUCAAUAGUGAAAGACGGUUUUGCUGUCACUUAUAGAUGGAUCCGCGCCGCAUUAGCUAGUUGGUAAGGUAACGGCUUACCAAGGCAACGAUGCGUAGCCGACCUGAGAGGGUGAUCGGCCACACUGGAACUGAGACACGGUCCAGACUCCUACGGGAGGCAGCAGUAGGGAAUCUUCCGCAAUGGGCGAAAGCCUGACGGAGCAACGCCGCGUGAGUGAUGAAGGUCUUCGGAUCGUAAAACUCUGUUAUUAGGGAAGAACAAAUGUGUAAGUAACUAUGCACGUCUUGACGGUACCUAAUCAGAAAGCCACGGCUAACUACGUG
rnacentral:rRNA from 1 species